rnacentral:lncRNA from 1 species
GCAUAUACCACACCUACACACUCACACCUACAUUCAUACACCUACAUACACACCCCUGCAUAUACCACACCUACACACUCAUACACCUACACACCUGCACACACACCCCUACACACACCACACACAUCUACACCCACCACCUACACACACCACAUACAUCUAUACCUACACAACCUACACCUACACAUACAAACCUACACUCAUACACCUACACACACACCUACACUCAUACACCUACAUACACACCC